AUUGAACGCUGGCGGCAGGCCUAACACAUGCAAGUCGAACGAGUGGCGGACGGGUGAGUAAUGUCUGGGAAACUGCCCGAUGGAGGGGGAUAACUACUGGAAACGGUAGCUAAUACCGCAUACCAUCGGAUGUGCCCAGAGGGGAUUAGCUAGUAGGUGGGGUAACGGCUCACCUAGGCGACGAUCCCUAGCUGGUCUGAGAGGAUGACCAGCCACACUGGAACUGAGACACGGUCCAGACUCCUACGGGAGGCAGCAGUGGGGAAUAUGGCACAAUGGGAGCAAGACUGAUGCAGCAAUGCCGCGUGAAUGAAGAAGGCCUUCGGGUUGUAAAGUUCUUUCGGUAGCGAGGCGUUACUCGCAGAAGAAGCACCGGCUAACUCCGUGCCAGCAGCCGCGGUAAUAC
rnacentral:rRNA from 1 species